rnacentral:rRNA from 2 species
UAGGGAAUCUUCGGCAAUGGACGAAAGUCUGACCGAGCAACGCCGCGUGAGUGAAGAAGGUUUUCGGAUCGUAAAACUCUGUUGUUAGAGAAGAACAAGGACGUUAGUAACUGAACGUCCCCUGACGGUAUCUAACCAGAAAGCCACGGCUAACUACGUGCCAGCAGCCGCGGUAAUACGUAGGUGGCAAGCGUUGUCCGGAUUUAUUGGGCGUAAAGCGAGCGCAGGCGGUUUCUUAAGUCUGAUGUGAAAGCCCCCGGCUCAACCGGGGAGGGUCAUUGGAAACUGGGAGACUUGAGUGCAGAAGAGGAGAGUGGAAUUCCAUGUGUAGCGGUGAAAUGCGUAGAUAUAUGGAGGAACACCAGUGGCGAAGGCGGCGCUCUGGUCUGUAACUGACGCUGAGGCUCGAAAGCGUGGGGAGCAAACAGG